GACAGAGGGUGCAAACGUUGUUCGGAAUUACUGGGCGUAAAGCGCGUGUAGGCGGCCUUGUAAGUCGGAUGUGAAAGCCCUGGGCUCAACCCAGGAAGUGCACUCGAAACUACAAGGCUUGAGUCCCGGAGAGGAAAGCGGAAUUCUCGGUGUAGAGGUGAAAUUCGUAGAUAUCGAGAGGAACACCGGUGGCGAGGGCGGCUUUCUGGACGGCGACUGACGCUGGGACGCGAAAGCGUGGGGAGCAAACAGG
rnacentral:rRNA from 1 species